GCUUCUUUUUCCACCGGAGCUUGCUCCACCGGAAAAAGAGGAGUGGCGAACGGGUGAGUAACACGUGGGUAACCUGCCCAUCAGAAGGGGAUAACACUUGGAAACAGGUGCUAAUACCGUAUAACAAUCAAAACCGCAUGGUUUUGAUUUGAAAGGCGCUUUCGGGUGUCGCUGAUGGAUGGACCCGCGGUGCAUUAGCUAGUUGGUGAGGUAACGGCUCACCAAGGCCACGAUGCAUAGCCGACCUGAGAGGGUGAUCGGCCACAUUGGGACUGAGACACGGCCCAAACUCCUACGGGAGGCAGCAGUAGGGAAUCUUCGGCAAUGGACGAAAGUCUGACCGAGCAACGCCGCGUGAGUGAAGAAGGUUUUCGGAUCGUAAAACUCUGUUGUUAGAGAAGAACAAGGAUGAGAGUAACUGUUCAUCCCUUGACGGUAUCUAACCAGAAAGCCACGGCUAACUACGUGCCAGCAGCCGCGG
rnacentral:rRNA from 1 species